UGGGGGAUAGUUUAGCGGUAGAACAUCGGACUCUGACUCCGAGAGCCCAGGUUCGAAUCCUGGUCCCCCAGCCA
rnacentral:tRNA from 1 species